GGAUCAAUUUGUUGGUCGUGCCUCGGUACGUACUGGCAUUAUUGGUUUCUACCUUCUGAAGAACCUUGAUGUCAUUAAUUUGGUGUCUUGGGGAAUCAGGACUGUUACUUUGAAAAAAUUAGAGUGUUUAAAGCAGGCAUACGCUUGAAUACAUUAGCAUGGAAUAAUGAAAUAGGACGUUUGAUUCUAUUUUGUUGGUUUCUAGGAUCGACGUAAUGAUUAAUAGCAUGCUGGUUAUUCAGAAGGUAGGAAUCCAUCACACCAGUGCGGACCGUGAAGCCCGACCGACGGAUGGAUUCCGAAAUUCAA
rnacentral:misc_RNA from 1 species